rnacentral:rRNA from 1 species
UCGUAACAAGGUUUCCGUAGUUGAACCUGCGGAAGGAUCAUU